UACGUAGGGUGCAAGCGUUGUCCGGAAUUAUUGGGCGUAAAGAGCUCGUAGGCGGUCUGUCGCGUCUGCUGUGAAAACUCAGGGCUUAACCCUGAGCUUGCAGUGGGUACGGGCAGACUAGAGUGGCGGUAGGGGAGACUGGAAUUCCGUGGUGUAGCGGGUGAAAUGCGCAGAUAUCGAGGAGGAACACCCGGUGGGCGAAAGGCGAGUCCCGUGGACAGAUCCAUGACGCUG
rnacentral:rRNA from 1 species